UGGGGAAUAUUGCACAAUGGGCGCAAGCCUGAUGCAGCCAUGCCGCGUGUAUGAAGAAGGCCUUCGGGUUGUAAAGUACUUUCAGCGGGGAGGAAGGCGAUAAGGUUAAUAACCUGGUCGAUUGACGUUACCCGCAGAAGAAGCACCGGCUAACUCCGUGCCAGCAGCCGCGGUAAUACGGAGGGUGCAAGCGUUAAUCGGAAUUACUGGGCGUAAAGCGCACGCAGGCGGUCUGUCAAGUCGGAUGUGAAAUCCCCGGGCUCAACCUGGGAACUGCAUUCGAAACUGGCAGGCUAGAGUCUUGUAGAGGGGGGUAGAAUUCCAGGUGUAGCGGUGAAAUGCGUAGAGAUCUGGAGGAAUACCGGUGGCGAAGGCGGCCCCCUGGACAAAGACUGACGCUCAGGUGCGAAAGCGUGGGGAGCAAACA
rnacentral:rRNA from 1 species